AUGUAAGAAUGCAAGUAAACGGUAGUGGAAAGGAAAACAUCGAGGGUACACUUUUUAAGAGUCUGAAAGGCUGGAGCAAUUAAGCAGGCGCAUCGAGGAACUUGUCACAGUGUUUCUCCAGCAGUGUGUGUGUGUGUGUGUGUGUGUGUGUGAAACUCGAAAAUAUGGAUUUUCGUCUUGUUUAACCAAAACUAAGAACUCUUUCAAGGUCUGGUGAACUAUUGGGACGUGGCGUUUUAAGUCAUAGAAAUAGGAAGAAAAGAUAGUGGUUACGCAAUCCACCUAUGACAGAUCGCGGGUGCUGCAGGUUGGGUUGCCACUCAGUCAGAACUAAGAAAACGUUUUCAAUAAUGGAAAUUUCACUCGAGCUUAAGAAUGAGGGAAAGCCAGUUGCCAAGUCUGAGAAUGUGAACUGAAGCGUUGUCUCCCUUGACCGCUAUUGCUACGUAAACGGGAUAGAUUUUAUCCUCCAGCAAACCAGUAAACAAGAGUAUGCGAUGGUUUGCCCGUAGUUUCCUCACUACAAUGAUGCUUCCGUGCGAGGAACCUCUAGAAUCCUUGUCCCCGUGCGUCCCCGCCACUCGCCUUCCAAACUUGUGUGCUGGAACAGGAUAUAGGGAUACUGUUUGCCCGUCAGGUACUGCCCUAUGGCUUGAACUGGCCUGUAGGAAGUGUCGCAGAGAUGAAAAAGUUUAUCAAGAGGUAUCGUACUUUCAACAUAACGAGAUCUUCAAGAAGUGGGUAAUCUAGUAACCCUUCCCCUCGUCUGGCCACAGCACAGAAGGCGAGCACCACCAGCAGCUACCUCCUAUUGACUCACGGGGGAACUUGGCCUCGCCACAUGAUGUGGCAGGACGAGACGCGAAGGUUGUGACGUAGAGCUGUCACGCGUAACACACAGGGCGAGGACAAGGCGGGAAAGAGGGACCAGAAUUAUUUAAGAGUUUGUAGUACAAGAAAUAAUUAAAAAGAUGUAGGUGAUCACUGGGGGAAAAAUCGUGCACCAGUGAAAUAGUUAAAAGGACA